GACAGAGGUGCCGAGCGUUAGGCGGAAUCACUGGGCUUAAAGCGUGUGUAGGCGGAUGCCUAAGUACCUUGUGAAAUCCCCCGGCUUAACCGGGGAACUGCUUGGUAUACUGGGUGUCUUGAGCCACUUAGGGGCGACCGGAACAAACGGUGGAGCGGUGAAAUGCGUAGAUAUCGUUUGGAACGCCAAUGGUGAAAACAGGUCGCUGGGAGUGUGCUGACGCUGAGACACGAAAGCCAGGGGAGCGAACGGG
rnacentral:rRNA from 1 species